rnacentral:rRNA from 1 species
UACAGAGGUCCCAAGCGUUGUUCGGAUUCACUGGGCGUAAAGGGUGCGUAGGUGGUGGGGUAAGUCGGAUGUGAAAUCUCCGAGCUCAACUCGGAAACUGCAUUGGAAACUACCUUGCUCGAGGGUUGGAGGGGGGACUGGAAUACUUGGUGUAGCAGUGAAAUGCGUAGAUAUCAAGUGGAACACCAGUGGCGAAGGCGAGUCCCUGGACAACUCCUGACACUGAGGCACGAAAGCUAGGGGAGCAAACAGG